AUGAAAUUACUCUCCAUGGAACAAAGCAAUGGUAACAAUGAUAAAGAAAGGCAAGCAAUAACAUAUUUGACUUAUUGGAGGCAAGAGGAUGAUCAGAUUCGGUUCAGUAUUGAGGCCAUCAUAUCAGCCAAUCAAACCAAUAGGGAAAUUAAUCUCAUUCAUCACAUCACCUCUGGCCUACUAAACCCACAAUUAAAUAUUUUAAAAAGGAAAGUACCAGCAAGGAAAAGUACAACAGUGAGGGCAGAUGCAUCAGAUCUCCAAGGUGAAAAAGAGUCUGACAUCACAGAAAUGCCUCAGAUGCAAAUUACCCAUAAACUCAUGUAUCCUCAUUUGCAUCAACUAUGCCCAUUUCAAUUAGAAACAAAGUUUCUAUUUGAAUUGGUCUAA
rnacentral:rRNA from 1 species